UGCAAAAAGGUGACGUGUUUAUCUUAUUUGCAACAAGCAACAUAAUUGUUAUCAUUUAAUUGUCCAAUGAAAUGCAUUCAUGAAUAUUGAAAUAUUUUCAGUUACUUGCAACAGGAAUGAUAGAAUUCUGAAAAUAAGAUCAAGAUUGUGCUUUCUUGACCAUCAGGAGUAUACAUAUGUUGGUGUGUUUUAUAUAGUCCUUUGCUUCUUAUUUUCCCUUAUGAUUCCUUGCCUAAUGUUGUGGUUGUGUGGAUCUCUUGACUGGCAAUUCUGCAGAAAUCAUUCAGAAGGCAUGCAUCUGCAGAUGCCCAAUACAACUGUCUCACGGAAAGUCAAAACUUGAAACACAUGUUGGUGAUCCAAGCCCUUCAUCACACUGGCCUCAUGAUGAAUGUGUCUUCACUUAUUAUCAGUUUUGCCCAUUCAUCAGGAUUUGCAAAAUUGGUUACAGCUUUUGCAAGAAAUGGUCACAGAUGAGAAGUAUAGAUUGAGCUGUUGAACCGUGUCAGGAAAUGUCAAUAGUGCAGCCCAAUUCAGAGUAAUGGAAGAAUCUCUGAUGAAAUCUCUUUAUUCACAUCGAGAACACUAGAGACAUCACUGUUGGCAGUUAACUAAUCAUGGCAAUAUAUGGGAGCUAGUGAAGAUCUCAACUUUUCAAUGGCUCAACGAGAUGCCACGUACUUGAAGUUUCAGAUACAUGUUGAAUCUUGAUCUCCAAUCUUCCUAUCGAUGACCCAGCUACAAUUUUGCACCUUCCAACAAAAUACCAUUCUAUGAACAGAUUCGAUGAAACUUCCAUCUGAUACAAUAGCUUGGAUUAGAGAAGCCAGACCUGAUACCUUUCGUCCCUUCCAUGUUCAAGUAUUUGAGGGAAAGGGGGAUGCAAGUCGAAGUAAAGGUUGUCUACAUUGCAAUUGAGGCUCUUUGGCUUCAUACAUUCAUGGAUGUGGCCCACUAGACUGCAUGGACAAAUCAUCAAGACCACCAUCCAUCUGCUCGCCCCUACCGUUGUGGGUGAUUGUACAGAAGACGGAGAAUCCAUUCUACCCUAUUUCAGUUGCAGUCAGAUCAUGAAGACCAGCAUAUACACACACCUACUGUUUGUGGGUGAUUGUACAAAAAACAUGUGGAUAGGAGAAUCCUAGCUGCCCAAUUUUCUCUGUUGAAUGUGAUAUUUAUACAGUUUGUAUAAAAAAUGGCUGAUUUUUGUCGUCACCCGUUUGCUUGGAGGCUCUUACUCAGACGGAUAGGAUUUUCCAAUUGAUGUGAUAUUUAUACAAUUGCCUAUCACCAUAGGGCUUAUAAGAUUAACAUACCAGAUGAUCCACCCAUGAGCCAUGCAGGCCCAAUCAAGCAGUAGACCUUCUGAGGUAAGGGCAGGCUCCAAAUUGAAAAUGAAGCAAUAGGCCUCUCAAAUUCUAUGUCAAGGGUGGGAAAUCUGGUGUUCAAACGGGAUUCUUCAGAUCAAGCAUGGAUGGUCCUCAUUGCUUGCAAGUUUAUCAGCUGAUAUGCUUCAUGAGUAAGUUUCAGGAAGCAAUGAUCACUUUACUAGCUGUUUGUAGCUCUAUUUUUAUGUUGAGUUUAGAAGGCUAAAUUAUAAAUGGAUGUUUAAGUAGAGGCAGAAAUAGAGAUUGUAUGUAUUUUGGAAUGCAUGUAAAACAGAUCCGUAGUCUGACUGUUAUGCUUGUUACAAGUAAUUAUAUGAGUUUCAUGUGCUAUGUUUAUGUUAAGUAAUUGAUUGGCCAUUGUAUUUAC